AACGAACGCUGGCGGCAGGCUUAACACAUGCAAGUCGAGCGCACCGCAAGGUGAGCGGCCGACGGGUGAGUAACGCGUGGGAAUCUACCCAACCCUACGGAAUAACCCAGGGAAACUUGGACUAAUACCGUAUACGCCCUUUUGGGGAAAGAUUUAUCGGGGAUGGAUGAGCCCGCGUUGGAUUAGCUAGUUGGUGGGGUAAAGGCCUACCAAGGCGACGAUCCAUAGCUGGUCUGAGAGGAUGAUCAGCCACAUUGGGACUGAGACACGGCCCAAACUCCUACGGGAGGCAGCAGUGGGGAAUAUUGGACAAUGGGCUCAAGCCUGAUCCAGCCAUGCCGCGUGAGUGAUGAAGGCCUUAGGGUUGUAAAGCUCUUUCAGUAGGGAAGAUAAUGACGGUACCUACAGAAGAAGCCCCGGCUAACUUCGUG
rnacentral:rRNA from 1 species